AUGGGCCCUCAGCUUCUGCUCGUUCUUCUGCUCGUCGUAUCUGGAGGCGUUGCCGCUGCCGGCGCCGACGAGGCCGGGCUGCCCCGACUCGAGUUCCGAGGCGUCGUCUACUCUGGCCUUCGGAACGCGUCCGUCGCGCCGGAGGAGCUGGCGUUCCUGGACGUCAUCUCCGCGGACGGCGCCUGCGGGCGCUUCGCCCGCCUCGUCGCCGAGACGGGGAACGCGGGCGAGGUCUUCCGGGGGCGCGUCGCGGGCGGCGGCGGUCUCACGGUGUUCUGCCCCGAGGACAAGGCCCUCGCCGAGUUCGAGCCGGCGUUCCGGAGCCUCGCCGCCGACGACCGGCUCGCCGUGCUGCUGUACCACGCCACGGCGGCAUGCUACGGCAGGAAGCAUUUCCAGGCGUUCGACUGGGUGGCGGUGAGCACGCUGGCGGUCGACGCGGCCACCAACAAGGGCAUCGCCAUCACCCUCCGCGACGACGGGGACACGGUGGAGAUGUGGCCGUCGCCGCCGUCAUGGGAGGGCGCUGCCAGGGUGACCAAGACGGCGUCCGAGGAGCCCCCGCUUGCCGUGUACGUCGUCGACGCCGUGCUGCUGCCGAGCCAUGUGCGACGACUGCUGGAUGGGGGCGACGAGGUGGCUGGUCUCGGCUGGUUGGACUACCGCAUGCCGCUCUGGGUGACCCUGCUACUCGUGGCCGUGGCGAACCUGGGGAACAUGGCGGACACCUUGAUCAGAUUUCUUGUCACCCUCAACUGA
rnacentral:rRNA from 1 species